rnacentral:rRNA from 1 species
GACGAACGCUGGCGGCGUGCUUAACACAUGCAAGUCGAACGGAAAGGCCCUGCUUUUGUGGGGUGCUCGAGUGGCGAACGGGUGAGUAACCCGUGAGUAACCUGCCCUUGACUUUGGGAUAACUUCAGGAAACUGGGGCUAAUACCGGAUAGGAGCUCCUGCCGCAUGGUGGGGGUGGGAUAGUUUCGGCGGUUGGGGAUGUACUCGCGGCUUAUCAGCUUGUUGGUGGGGUAGUGGCUUACCAAGGCUUUGACGGGUAGCAUGCCUGAGAGGGUGACCGGACACGUUGCGACUGAGAUGCGGCCCAGACUACUACGGGAGGCAGCGGUGGGGAAUAUUGCACAAUGGGCGGAAGCCUGAUGCAGCAACGCCGCGUGCGGGAUGACGGCCUUGGGGUUGUAAACCACUUUCGCCUGUGACGAAGCGUUAGUGACGGUAAUGGGUGAAGAAGCACCGGCUAACUACGUG